rnacentral:rRNA from 1 species
GUGUCAGCAGCCGCGGUAAGACGUAGGGAGCGAGCGUUGUCCGGAUUUAUUGGGCGUAAAGCGCGCGUAGGCGGCCGUGCAAGUCGGUUGUGAAAGCCCGGGGCUCAACCCCGGGAUUGCAUCCGAUACUGUGCGGCUCGAGGCAGGCAGGGGAGAGCGGAAUUCCCGGUGUAGCGGUGAAAUGCGCAGAUAUCGGGAGGAACACCGGUGGCGAAGGCGGCUCUCUGGGCCUGUCCUGACGCUCAGGCGCGAAAGCUAGGGGAGCGAACAGGAUUAGAAACCCCCGUAGUCC